rnacentral:rRNA from 1 species
GACGAACGCUGGCGGCGUGCUUAACACAUGCAAGUCGAACGAAGAGCGAUGGAAGCUUGCUUCUAUCAAUCUUAGUGGCGAACGGGUGAGUAACGCGUAAUCAACCUGCCCUUCAGAGGGGGACAACAGUUGGAAACGACUGCUAAUACCGCAUACGAUCUAACCUCGGCAUCGAGGAAAGAUGAAAGGUGGCCUCUAUUUAUAAGCUAUCACUGAAGGAGGGGAUUGCGUCUGAUUAGCUAGUUGGAGGGGUAACGGCCCACCAAGGCGAUGAUCAGUAGCCGGUCUGAGAGGAUGAACGGCCACAUUGGGACUGAGACACGGCCCAGACUCCUACGGGAGGCAGCAGUGGGGAAUCUUCCGCAAUGGACGAAAGUCUGACGGAGCAACGCCGCGUGAGUGAUGACGGCUUUCGGGUUGUAAAGCUCUGUUAAUCGGGACGAAAGGCCUUCUUGCGAACAGUUAGAAGG